rnacentral:rRNA from 1 species
GGGGAAUAUUGGACAAUGGGCGCAAGCCUGAUCCAGCCAUGCCGCGUGAGUGAUGAAGGCCCUAGGGUUGUAAAGCUCUUUCGGCGGGGACGAUAAUGACGGUACCCGCAGAAGAAGCCCCGGCUAACUUCGUGCCAGCAGCCGCGGUAAUACGAAGGGGGCUAGCGUUGUUCGGAAUCACUGGGCGUAAAGCGCACGUAGGCGGAUUAUUAAGUCGGGGGUGGAAUCCCGAGGCUCAACCUCGGAACUGCCUUCGAUACUGGUAAUCUUCGAGUCCGGGAGAGGUGAGUGGAACUCCGAGUGUAGAGGUGGAAUUCGUAGAUAUUCGGAAGAACACCAGUGGCGAAGGCGGCUCACUGGCCCGGGACUGACGCUGAGGUGCGAAAGCGUGGGGAGCAAAC